rnacentral:rRNA from 1 species
UCCCAUCUGCCGAAGUGUGAUAGGGGUCCUGAGUGCUCAUGCUUUCCAUGGGCUUUUGCCUAGAGUAAAAAACUUGGCGAAUAAGGGGUGGGCAAGACUGGUGCCAGCCCCCCCGGUAA